rnacentral:rRNA from 1 species
CGGUGUUUAACUGGCGUGAUGUGGGACGUCCUACCGGUGGGCUUAGCCUCGCGAGGGGCGGCCCAACUAAUAUCCCGUCGCGGUGCUCUUUACUGAGUGUCGAGUCGGGCCGGUACGUUUACUUUGAACAAAUUAGAGUGCUUAAAGCAGGCUAUCCUCGCCUGAAUACUGCGUGCAUGGAAUAAUGGAAUAGGACCUCGGUUCUAUUUUGUUGGUUUUCGGAACCCCGAGGUAAUGAUUAAUAGGGACAGAUGGGGGCAUUCGUAUUGCGACGUUAGAGGUGAAAUUCUUGGAUCGUCGCAAGACGGACAGAAGCGAAAGCAUUUGCCAAAAAUGUUUUCAUUAAUCAAGAACGAAAGUUAGAGGUUCGAAGGCGAUCAGAUACCGCCCUAGUUCUAACCAUAAACGAUGCCAGCUAGCGAUCCGCCGAAGUUCCUCCGAUGACUCGGCGGGCAGCUUCCGGGAAACCAAAGCUUUUGGGUUCCGGGGGAAGUAUGGUUGCAAAGCUGAAACUUAAAGGAAUUGACGGAAGGGCACCACCAGGAGUGGAGCCUGCGGCUUAAUUUGACUCAACACGGGAAACCUCACCAGGCCCAGACACCGGAAGGAUUGACAGAUUGAUAGCUCUUUCUUGAUUCGGUGGGUGGUGGUGCAUGGCCGUUCUUAGUUGGUGGAGCGAUUUGUCUGGUUAAUUCCGAUAACGAACGAGACUCUAGCCUGCUAAAUAGGCGUACCUUAUGGUAUCGCGAAGGCCCCCGGCUUCGGCCGGUGGGUUUUUACUACCAACGUACAAACAAAUCUUCUUAGAGGGCACAGGCGG